UACGAAGGGGGCUAGCGUUGCUCGGAAUUACUGGGCGUAAAGCGCACGUAGGCGGCCUAUUAAGUCAGGGGUGAAAGACGGUAGCUUAACUAUCGCAGUGCCUUUGAUACUGAUGGGCUUGAAUGUAGUUGAGGUAGGCGGAAUGUGACAAGUAGCGGUGAAAUGCAUAGAUAUGUCACAGAACACCAAUUGCGAAGGCAGCUUACUAAAGUAUGAUUGACGCUGAGGCACGAAAGCGUGGGGAUCAAACAGG
rnacentral:rRNA from 1 species